rnacentral:rRNA from 1 species
AUUCCAGCUCCAAUAGCGUAUAUUUAAGUUGCUGCAGUUAAAAAGCUCGUAGUUGGAUUUCGGGUGGGAAUGGCCGGUCCGCCGUUUCGGUGUGCACUUGCUAGUCCCACCUUGCUGCCGGGGACGUGCUCUUGGGUUUCGGCUCGGGACACGGAGUCGGCGAGGUUACUUUGAGUAAAUUAGAGUGUUCAAAGCAGGCCUACGCUCUGAAUACAUUAGCAUGGAAUAACACGAUAGGACUCUGGCCUAUCUUGUUGGUCUGUAGGACCGGAGUAAUGAUUAAGAGGGACAGUCGGGGGCAUUCGUAUUUCAUUGUCAGAGGUGAAAUUCUUGGAUUUAUGAAAGACGAACUACUGCGAAAGCAUCUGCCAAGGAUGUUUUCAUUA